GAGGGGUGCUUAGUUACAAUGAUGAUCCGACCGCAGCAGGAGCUGACUAUACGCCUGUAGACGACAACCAGGACAUAACGUGUAUACUGUAGACAAAGUUAAAUCUGUACUACACUUGUCGACGAUGAUAAUUAGCGUCUUCAAUGUCUUCCAUUUUACAAAUAUGCCUACUCGGUGAAACAAGACUUUGUUGGUGUGUUGUUGUGGCGACACAGGGGCGGGGCUUUCCUCAUUGAGUGUACUGGUUCCCAUGGCAACGCAUCUCAGCGAUAUCAUGGCGGUGGAGCCUUUUUUAUUUCAAAGAGUCGACGUUGGACUUCAUCUGCACAUCUGGACUUGCACCAGCUGACUAAUGUGACUCAAAGCACAAACCUGGGACAUUUUCUCAGGUCAAAACUGAGUCAUAACUCGCAGAGAAGUAAAUGGAGACAAUAAAGAACACCAAAGUAGGGGUCCUGUCCUGGACCCCAGCACCUGCGCGCAUCUCACCCGCAAGCUCUUUAAUGUCUGAGGAUGACACAGAUGAACAAGAUUGCAACUUUUUUAGCCAGAUGGACGACAAUGGUAUCAUUAGACUGACAGACGAACUGGUGGAUGAGACGCAUGAGGACAAUGGAAUUACAGAAUGUCAUCCAGCUUUCUCUCCAGUACCUCCCAGCCCAGAGGACCUUGAUGGGUACGAGAUAGAUGUGCUUCCCGAGGAGCAGAUUUCUAUCCUAAAUGAUCAUCUAGAGAAUAUAGACCUACUGGCAAACGAUGAUGAUGAAGUCUGUAUCUUAAGACAACAAAGUGAUCAUGAAGACGAGGAAAAAGACAAGAAGAUGACAAAAGAAGUGCAGAGUACAGAGGAAGACACAUGCAUAGGCAAGGCUCAAGAGGGAAAAAAUAGGUUAGGAGAGGGUGAGAGAGUUUUCCGCAAGGAGACAGUGAGUAAUGAUAAAGAAACGUCAGAGAACCAAUGUUUUGAGUCGCCAUUUUUGUUCCUGGAAGCUAAUGGCGACUGCAAACCUCAAUGUCUAACAUACCAGACGUUAUCAUGCCCCACUCUCCUCCUUUCCUCCCACCUGUGCCCUUUUACUGCUGAAGAAAGUACUGUGGCUGCAGGAAUUGACAGUGAAACCAUUCCAGAUAAGGAAUUUCCAGAUAGUCCUCUUGAAACAAACAGCGCAAUGAGCUGCGUGUCCAGUCCUCGUCACCAUCAGCAAAAGUCUAAAAAAGAAGAAGAAGAAUUUGAAGACACAACUAUUUCGGAAUAUCAGCACAGUACUGUCAAUGAGCAUUCAAAUAAGGGUCUUAAAAAGCUCACUUUCUCACCCAGGCAAAGGUCACCAUCAAAGGACCGCUUCCAGUCUCCAAGAAGAGAUAAUGAAUCAAGAAAAGGCUACCCUAGCCACGCGAUACCAGAUUUAUCUAAGGUAAAGCCGAGGGUCUCGUUCCCUAAAGGGGAUUACAAGCCACCAAAGAGCAGAUGGUCCACCAACAAUUCUCCAAAUUGCUUGACGCCUGUUGUCUUUAAAUCUCCUGCUGACAUUGUGAAAGAAGUGCUACUGAACACGACUGAUGGAUCUCAAACUCUGUCAGACUAUAAUAAAAGUACAUCAACCGGUUCUCCAAGCUCCACGGUACCUCAGGAGUUUCGAUGUCAACACAAGGCCCAUAUCUUGGCUGAACAGCUGCAGGAGGACUAUAACAGACUGCUGACUAAAUAUGCUGAGGCAGGGAACACCAUUGACCGUCUACGUCUGGAAGCCAAGGUUAAACUACACUCCGACCAACCCAGGCCUGCUCAUUUUGACCCAUCAGGAUUUCAUAUUGAGCCCUCAAAAAUUAUGAGACUGGAGUUUCCUCAGGCUCAGAGAGCGCAGCCCAGCCCCGGUUCCCCACCUUCCAACGAACCCAGUAGCCAAAGAUCUACCUGUGGCCUAUCGUCUUUAUCUGCCUCCAUCUCAAAUAUCUCCGAUUUCCAGGGAGGUCCGCAAGUGGCCAGUACGCUCUACGCUCAGGCCGACGGACUCCUCCAGCAGCUGCAGCGUUUUGAGGAGCAGCUGAGGAGCAAAAUACCAAAGGUGACGGGUCUCUCAACACUUUAUGAAGGACUGGACUCUUUAGAAAAGGGAUACCUGUUGGCCAAAAAAGAAAAGGAAGGAACAGCAAGUGGCCGUUUUGACCCUAAUCGAGAACUGGAGGAGUUCAUCUAUCAGUGUGGGCUGCAUCUGGACGCGCUGAAGGAGAAGGUGGAACAGAGAGCUGAUGUCGGUCAUCCUCCUUUUACCGCCACCAAAUCAUCUUCUGAUGGUUCGCACUCAGAGAACCAACAUAUGAUUGAUCCAACAGAGAUUACUGAAAGCAGCAGUGAUGAGACAAAAGGAACUGAUUUGAACCUGAAUUCUGCUCACCUCAACCAAAAAUGUGAAAAGCAAGCAGUAAACGUGAAUCAGACUUCCACCACACCUGUCAGUCACCCUGCUAAUGACAGGAGGAGAAAGAAGAUUGAGAACUCCUGCAGCAGCAGUUUGAGCAGUCUUGGAGACAUUACUGCAUCUGAGAAGAAGUGGUCCAAACCACACAAUGAGAUCAGGAGAGCUUUUUAUCAGGAUAGGAUCGUCUCGCCAGGGACAGAUAGUGGGUUUGUCGGUUCAGAGACAAGUCAUCAGACGCCGGGUUUGGCUUCCAGCUCUCUCCGCCAGAAAACCUCAAAUAGGCGUGCCAGUGUUUCCGGACAUCAGGAGGUGUGUUCAGUAAAACCUCACAAGAAUCAUACUUCAUCACCACCUUUGGGCUCCUCGCAUUCAUGCAGCUCCACAACAACAAAACAGAGAGAAUAUUUCCAACAAGAGUCGGGAAGAUCUUGUCAGGAUGAGAGCAGACAAGGCCAGUGGGUCAGUCAGGCGGAUACUACCAGGAUUGACAGUGAAACCGCCCAGACGGCGUCUGAAGACACACAAAGUGUCCAGUACGACGACUCCCCAUCUUGUUCCUCUCCAAGUCCGUCAUCCGCCUCCGCGUUUAACUGUUGCAGCGGCGACGCUCUUAAAACACUGAAAUCCAGACAGGCAGUGAUUCACAACGAUCCAAGUCGAUCCCGACAGACCAUUUCGGCCAGACCAAAGGAGAGGCGUGAAAGAACAAAGGAGUCUAAAGCAGAUCAUUUGUCUCAGCGAAACUGCACUAAACAACGAACUUCAACACCUUUGUUCAUUUCCCUCAGGUCUGUGGAGCCAUCAGUUGAUCGAGACGACAGUAGCCAAAAGACUUGGACGAUUGUCGAGGAUGAGGUGCAGAAGGUUGGGAGACGCGCAGCCAGGAGAAAAUUGACAUACAAACAACAACUACAACCUGACUCGUCAACUGCGUCAGACCUUGAAAACUCGGCUUGUCAUCUGCUGGUGACGAGAUCUACUCAGACGUCAAUUGCAGUAGCUGACAGCAAAACUUCAAACACAAGUGUGCCACACAUCCACCACAUCAAGCAGGACCUCGCUAAGCCUGAGAAAGGUGAUAACGAAACGGGUGGAGCCCCUCCUUGUCCUCAUUGUUUGUCACGUCACAGUGGCUCCUCAGAAACUGGCGGCAACCUUAAGGCAACCCACUUCUGCUGCUGCCAUUGUCAUCCUGGUUCGUAUUGUGGAUAUCACGAUGCCAGGAGAAGAAGUGAGCCAGACUGUUGCAAGGACUCAAACGUUGCCUCGACCUCCAGCCACAAACCCGAGUGUCCCGGCAGAGCGGCGGCAGCUGCUGCUGUGUGUCCCACGUCGCUGCUUCUCUACCUCCACCCUCAAGCCGUCCACAUGUACGGCAACAAUUCCAGCUCGCCCUCGAAGGAGGACAAACAAAGGUCGUCGCGACCCCCACAGCGGGUGGUGCCGCGGCGCUCCGUGGACGAAACUCUCCAGGAGGCCUGCAUCAUGCAGGACAAGUCCAAACACAUGCUGCGAGAACUGGAGGAAGGAAUGCGCCAUCUGGAGCAACAGUUCAAAACACACUACUAACUCCACCUCUGCAUAAUCAGUGCCUGUAAACGUGCAGCUGGCAAGGACACGAAGCUGUGUGAGUCCAUCCAUCCAUCCAUUUUCUACCGCUUGUCCCUUUUGGGGUCGCUGGAGCCUAUCUCACAUUUUUGACAAUUAGGUGAAAACAGCAACUCAUCGCCUGCUCAAGGUUUAACAUUUACUUCCUCGUAUAUUCACCAUUUUCUUUUCACUGCUCUGAAUUGUAAAUAUUUUUUUUUUAUGAUAUCUUGAAUACAAAGUGGUUUGAUGGCACUCAGGGUAAAGAGUGCUGCAUCUAUGAAUCCAGCAGAGGGCGGUGUCUCACAAGUCCAUUCAACAUUUUCCAGCAGGAAGAUGCUUUGACAAGAUAUGGCUGCGCUUCAGAGCAGCGGCUUCGUGCGAGCGCUCCUGGAAGUGUAGACCGAUUUGGCAAAAAUACCCCUCAAUUCAGUCAAUUUCAUGGCUGGCUCACAGCGUGUUCACUCCGUGAUCACUUACGACCGACUUACGAUUCUGGAUGUGGAGAGAUCGGGCCAUUUUGGGCUGAAAGAUGCGUGUACGGUGGACCUACUCGCUAGCUUGGGAAUUCUUCGCGAGCUACAUCCAGCAGUGGCCUUUGAAGCAGCGGCGUCGACUACCAGCGGAGACCGUCAGCGAAAGAGACGUAAGCGAUGCGCUCGGAAGCAGAAGCGGGGGUGUCGGGCGGGGCUAACAACAAAGCUAAAUGCGUUGUUGUUAGCGGGGCUAACGAAAAAGCUAAAUGCUAAUCCACAAAGAAGCGCUAAUAAGGAGUCUGUUAAGAUAGAACUAGCCAGCGCCAGGCUGGAUAAUCCCUGCACACAUAGCAAUUCUUCUAGAAUAAUAUACAACUCACAUAAUGUUUUUUCUGCGUCAGAGGUGGACAUGCAUUUUACUGAGGUGGCAAACAAUCUAAAAAUUCCUGUCAUAUCAAUUCCUAGAUAUGGUCGAAAUUAUUUAAAGUGCACUAUGCAUAAUAAACGUAACAUUAUUAAUAUUGCUACUACGGAUACUUUCAACAAAAACUCCUCAAAACAGCCCACUACCUAUAAUAUGGGCUUUUUAAACAUAAGGUCAUUGUCUUCCAAAACGUUAUUAGUUAAUGAAGUCAUCAGAGACAACAAUCUUGAUGUCGUUGGUCUAGCCGAGACCUGGCUCAAACCAGACGAUUUUUUUGCGCUGGGUGAGGCGUCUCCUCCUGGCUAUGCGGGAACGCAUAUUGCCCGCCCCAUUAAAAGGGGUGGGGGUGUUGCACUAAUAUACAACAAAAACUUUAGCCUUACCUCGGACCUAAAUAAUAAAUAUAACUCGUUUGAGGUGCUUACUGUGAGGUUUGUCACACCGCUGCCUCUGCACCUGGCUGUCAUCUACCGCCCCCCAGGGCCCUAUUCGGACUUUAUCAAUGAAUUUUCAGAGUUCGUUGCUGAUCUAGUGACGCACGCCGACAAUAUAAUCAUAAUGGGAGACUUUAACAUCCAUAUGAAUACCCCAUCGGACCCUCCAUGCGUGGCGCUCCAGACUAUAAUUGAUAGCUGUGGUCUUACACAAAUAAUAAAUGAACCCACGCAUCGCAACGGUAAUACGAUAGAUCUAGUGCUUGUCAGGGGUGUCACCACCUCUAAAGUUACGAUACUCCCGUACACUAAAGUAAUGUCCGAUCAUUACCUUAUAAAAUUCGAAGUUCUGACUCAUUGUCAACAAACUAAUAAUAAUAAUAAUAACUACUAUAGCAGCCGCAACAUUAAUACUGCCACAACGACGACUCUUACUGACCUACUGCCUUCAGUAAUGGCACCUUUCCCAAAUUAUGUGGGCUCUAUUGAUAACCUCACUAACAGCUUUAACGACGCCCUGCGCGACACCAUUGAUAGUGUAGCACCGCUAAAGCUAAAAAGGGCCCCUAAAAGGCGUACCCCAUGGUUUACAGAAGAAACUAAAGCCCAGAAAUUAUCAUGUAGAAAGCUGGAACGCAAAUGGCGUGCGACUAAACUUGAGGUUUUCCAUCAAGCAUGGAGUGAUAGUUUAAUAACUUAUAAACGCAUGCUUACCUCAGCUAAAGCUAAAUAUUACUCAAAUCUCAUCCACCUCAACAAAAAUGAUCCUAAAUUUUUGUUUAGUACAGUAGCAUCGCUAACCCAACAAGGGACUCCUCCCAGUAGCUCCACCCACUCAGCAGAUGACUUUAUGAAUUUCUUUAAAAAGAAAAUUGAAGUCAUUAGAAAAGAGAUUAAAGACAAUGCAUCUCAGCUACAACUGGGUUCUAUUAACACAAAUACGACGGUAUAUACAACGGACACUGCCCUCCA